AAAAAAUUGCAUUAAAUUUUAUGUUAUUUACGUAUAACAUUAUUCCUCAGUUUUUGUCCCCGCAAUUCUUCUGAGCGUAUAUUGCACGAAACAAAUUAAGAUUCUCUAUUGCUAGAAAUAAUCUCAUACAAAGCGUGAAAUUGGGAAAUGGCAACUAGCACAAGAAAUUAACAAUCCUUAGAUUAAGGGUCAAAAAGGUCAAAUAAUAGCGAGCAAUUGAAAUUGGAAAUAGCGAGCGUAAAUGUUGGAAAGUCGGUGAGGAUCACACCUACCCACCAUUUGAUUAAAACUAAAACAGAGAUGGUAAUCAUGUUCAAAGCAUAAGAAAGAGUAAAGUAGAGAGAGAGAGAGCGAAUUAAAGAGGCAGCUAUCAAUCAUGUUCUAGAAUCUAGAGAGUGAAGACAACGAAUGGUCUAAGAUUUUGCUUACUCUUUGAAUCUUCGAAAAUGUAUUUUAAAAUGGCGAAAUUGAUGCUAAAGUAAAAGCUAAAGCAAUCACAAUAACAAAUAUGAAGCCCAUAUGCUAGCUAGCUCGAUUAUAACUCCUUAAUUUCAAAAGAUGCUCAGAAGAGCCUUGAUUAAUUUAACUUCACAGUUGGUAUUUGACAUUGAGGGUAUUUAAUUUGCAGAUUAAAAAAAAAACCGCCAUCUAUUGACUUGUUAAUGUUUUUGAAGACCAAAACAUACCUCUCCCCCGUGCGAGAAAGCUUUUCGAGUUCUUUGAUUUCAAGAUUAUUAGCAGUUGUUGCAUCUAAACUAUCUGGGUCGCUAAGAGAGAUCCGCUUUUAAAAUUUUUGAAGCCA
rnacentral:lncRNA from 1 species